UACGUAGGGUGCGAGCGUUGCCCGGAUUUAUUGGGCGUAAAGGGCGCGUAGGCGACCACGCACGUCCGUUGUGAAAUCGCCCGGCUCAACUGGGCGGGGUCAGCGGAUACGGUGUGGCUCGAGCAAGCUAGGGGGCAAUGGAAUUCCCGGUGUAGUGGUGGAAUGCGUAGAUAUCGGGAGGAACACCAGUGGCGAAGGCGGUUGCCUGGAGCUUUGCUGACGCUGAGGCGCGAAAGCGUGGGGAGCGAACAGG
rnacentral:rRNA from 1 species